rnacentral:tRNA from 1 species
UCCGAUAUGGUGUAGUGGUUAACAUCGUUCGCUCUCAUUCGAAUUCUCUAGAGUUCAAUCAGUGCCGAACAGCCCCGGGUUCGAUUCCCGGUGUCGGAA